rnacentral:rRNA from 2 species
GUGAGUGGCGGACGGGUGAGUAACACGUGGGUAACCUGCCCUAAAGUGGGGGAUAACAUUUGGAAACAGAUGCUAAUACCGCAUAAAACCUAGCACCGCAUGGUGCAAGGUUGAAAGAUGGUUUCGGCUAUCACUUUAGGAUGGACCCGCGGUGCAUUAGUUAGUUGGUGAGGUAAAGGCUCACCAAGACCGUGAUGCAUAGCCGACCUGAGAGGGUAAUCGGCCACACUGGGACUGAGACACGGCCCAGACUCCUACGGGAGGCAGCAGUAGGGAAUCUUCCACAAUGGACGAAAGUCUGAUGGAGCAACGCCGCGUGAGUGAAGAAGGUUUUCGGAUCGUAAAACUCUGUUGUUGGAGAAGAACGUAUUUGAUAGUAACUGAUCAGGUAGUGACGGUAUCCAACCAGAAAGCCACGGCUAACUACGUGCCAGCAGCCGCGGUAAUACGUAGGUGGCAAGCGUUGUCCGGAUUUAUUGGGCGUAAAGCGAGCGCAGGCGGUUUCUUAAGUCUGAUGUGAAAGCCUUCGGCUCAACCGAAGAAGUGCAUCGGAAACUGGGAAACUUGAGUGCAGAAGAGGACAGUGGAACUCCAUGUGUAGCGGUGAAAUGCGUAGAUAUAUGGAAGAACACCAGUGGCGAAGGCGGCUGUCUGGUCUGUAACUGACGCUGAGGCUCGAAAGCAUGGGUAGCAAACAGGAUUAGAUACCCUGGUAGUCCAUGCCGUAAACGAUGAGUGCUAGGUGUUGGAGGGUUUCCGCCCUUCAGUGCCGCAGCUAACGCAUUAAGCACUCCGCCUGGGGAGUACGACCGCAAGGUU